rnacentral:rRNA from 1 species
UACGAAGGGUGCAAGCGUUACUCGGAAUUACUGGGCGUAAAGCGUGCGUAGGUGGUUUGUUAAGUCUGUUGUGAAAGCCCCGGGCUCAACCUGGGAAUGGCAAUGGAUACUGGCAGGCUAGAGUGCGGUAGAGGGUAGUGGAAUUCCCGGUGUAGCGGUGAAAUGCGUAGAGAUCGGGAGGAACACCAGUGGCGAAGGCGGCUACCUGGACCACAACUGACGCUGAGGCGCGAAAGCUAGGGGAGCAAACAGG